rnacentral:rRNA from 1 species
GAUGAACGCUGGGCGUGCCUAAUACAUGCAAGUCGAGCGAACAGACGAGGAGCUUGCUCCUCUGACGUUAGCGGCGGACGGGUGAGUAACACGUGGAUAACCUACCUAUAAGACUGGGAUAACUUCGGGAAACCGGAGCUAAUACCGGAUAAUAUAUUGAACCGCAUGGUUCAAUAGUGAAAGACGGUUUUGCUGUCACUUAUAGAUGGAUCCGCGCCGCAUUAGCUAGUUGGUAAGGUAACGGCUUACCAAGGCAACGAUGCGUAGCCGACCUGAGAGGGUGAUCGGCCACACUGGAACUGAGACACGGUCCAGACUCCUACGGGAGGCAGCAGUAGGGAAUCUUCCGCAAUGGGCGAAAGCUUGACGGAGCAACGCCGCGUGAGUGAUGAAGGUCUUCGGAUCGUAAAACUCUGUUAUUAGGGAAGAACAAAUGUGUAAGAAACUAUGCACGUCUUGACGGUACCUAAUCAGAAAGCCACGGCUAACUACGUG